rnacentral:lncRNA from 1 species
GACUGUGCAAGAUUCUGGGGAUAGAGCAUGCAGCUAAAAAAGGCCCCUGUCCCAAUGAGUCAAAGGUAUAUCAAAACUCUGUUGGAAUUGGGACAUAGGAGUGAUCCAUAUUGGGCCACAGAGAGAGAAGCAACAUCCUGGAGAUGACAGAGCAAAACAGCAGGCUGGUGCCUCAUAACUUCACAGUGCAGAGUCACCCUAUCAUCUCAGGCUUUAAAUGAGAGUGAAAUAAACUUC